rnacentral:rRNA from 1 species
UACGGAGGGUGCAAGCGUUAUCCGGAUUCACUGGGUUUAAAGGGAGCGCAGGCGGAUUGGUAAGUCAGUGGUGAAAGGCUUAAGCUUAACUUGGGAACUGCCAUUGAUACUAUCAGUCUUGAAUGUUGUUGAGGUUUGCGGAAUGGGUCAUGUAGCGGUGAAAUGCAUAGAUAUUGCACAGAACACCAAUUGCGAAGGCAGCUCGCUAAGCUGUAACUGACGCUGAGGCACGAAAGUGUGGGUAGCAAACAGG